rnacentral:rRNA from 1 species
AUUGAACGCUGGCGGAAUGCUUUACACAUGCAAGUCGAACGGCAGCACGGGGCAACCUGGUGGCGAGUGGCGAACGGUUGAGUAAUACAUCGGAACGUGCCCAGUCGUGGGGGAUAACGUAGCGAAAGUUGCGCUAAUACCGCAUACGAUCUAUGGAUGAAAGCGGGGGAUCGCAAGACCUCGCGCGAUUGGAGCGGCCGAUGUCAGAUUAGGUAGUUGGUGGGGUAAAGGCCUACCAAGCCGACGAUCUGUAGCUGGUCUGAGAGGACGACCAGCCACACUGGGACUGAGACACGGCCCAGACUCCUACGGGAGGCAGCAGUGGGGAAUUUUGGACAAUGGGCGCAAGCCUGAUCCAGCCAUUCCGCGUGCAGGAUGAAGGCCUUCGGGUUGUAAACUGCUUUUGUACGGAACGAAAAGGCUCUGGUUAAUACCUGGGGCUCAUGACGGUACCGUAAGAAUAAGCACCGGCUAACUACGUGCCAGCAGCCGCCGUAAAAC